UCUGGAGAACUGGAAGCAGAGAACCCAGCGUCGACUAGAAAGUGAGAUACGAUCUGCAGAGCAGGAGCAGUAAGCAGGUACAUCUCAACAGAUGUAGAGUUCCAUUCCCGGGAUGGCUCCGGUAAAACAAGUUCAGGGUGGAGACAUGACUUCCAAGAGCCAGGAGGACUUUGCAGAUUGAAGUAAGAUUCAACAUCCUGACCAAUCACCGGAGCCGGGUAGUGAGCCGUUUUUUGUUUGUUUUUUGGGUCCUCGAAAAUUUAAAAAUUUGCACCCCCCCCCCCCCAAAGGUAAAAAUCACGUUUUUUACAUGAUUUUUUUCUCAAGGGGGGGGGGGGUCCGGGCCCCCUGGGCCCUGGAUCCGCCACUAAGGCCAAUUGAUGUUACACAUUAAAGAUAUGGAAGACUAGACUAAGACACUUCAAGUCGUUUUGGUGCAAUGCCAUUCAUUUUGUACCAAGCUCGUCUGGUCUCCGUCCUUAUUGUCUUUCUUCAAAAAUUUGUUUAACCUGAUGCGACGCAAAGACCAGGUGGAAUGGCACAAACCCUAUAUUUGAAAGCAUAUGACAAAAAAAGCCAUUAAUGAUAUUUAAAUCCCAAAGAAUUGGAAGUAUGACAAUAAUAUAGCUGAAGAGUUCGGACCAAACUACCAUGCAACUUGCGUGUGAGUGUGGGUGACUAUAUAUGUGCCUGUGUGUAAUUCCGUUUACGUAUGUGGGUCGAGCAUUUGACCUAGUCAAUUUCUUCUCAUUUUGGUGAUCCCAUAAACCAACAGUGUACAGCAUUAUUGCUCAUGUGAAAUACAAUCAGGUCCCUAUUUUUCCAGAUAUUUGCAAUUUCAACUAUCUAUGAUAUUUGAAAUGUAUAUAAAAACAACAACAACAACAAAGUUAAAAAGUUAACGUUACGGUUUAACGGAUUCCUCUAAGAACAUAUCCCAUAAAACCUUGUAUACUGUGGUGAAGGCAUUCCAGGUACCCUUCCAUUAUGACAUUGCAUUGCUGUAUAUUAUUUGUUACAUGUAUUCCUAAGAUACAUUUGGUGUUAAAGUUAAUAAUGCUUUGUGUAAUGUUGAUUGUGGUUAUUUCUUAUGUUAUCUUAUUAUAUUUUGUGGAUUGAAUCCUAAGUCUUUGUGUGGGGGGGGGGGGGGGGUUAACCAAGAUCUUAUUUAUGUUUCAACUGAAUUUUUAUUCAGUUCCCAAGAUAUUUAGAAUAAAAUAGUUAUGUAAAAUGGGAAAAUAUGAAAAAUUAAAA